UGCGGGGUGGAGCAGUCUGGUAGCUCGUCGGGCUCAUAACCCGAAGGUCGUUGGUUCAAAUCCAACCCCCGCCA
rnacentral:tRNA from 1 species